rnacentral:tRNA from 1 species
GCCGACGAGGAGCGGCGGUCGCCGCCACCGGCCUGGUCAGCCGGGGCAGGCCCUCGAUGCCCUGCGGCCCCGCGAUCCCGCUCGCCGUCGCUGACGCC